rnacentral:lncRNA from 1 species
UUUUUUUUUUUUUUUUUUUUAAUCAUAUGACCCUAUAUUACUUUCCUUUGUAGUUCCAGCUAGCUGGGUAUUCCACUGUACUACUAUUGAUGUCAUCUAUGAUGUCAUAGAUGGUUCCCCAACAGAUGGUGCCCCAUCUAUGUCCAGCAAUGUCAACAAGCUCAUCAAAACUGAUAUUUCCAUUGUGCUUAAUGUUUUUCUGCUUCUUUCUGUAUCUUAGCAGUUCCUUGAGGCCUUUGAUAAUGAGGGCAGAGGCAGAAAGUACCACAUGAAUCUGGGCCUGUCAUGAAUGGCCAUUUUCACUGUAAUCCUCAGACCUUUCCAAUCAUCAGUUUGCUUUGGCUAUGUAUCAUCAACCUUUCUGGAAGAAAGAUGCAGGACGACAAUCUUGGGAGCCAGGGCAGAUGUAGCACCAACUUCCCCAUUGCUGCACCUCAGAUAUAUGACUUUGAUCUCAUUGGGGUUAAAUUCAAGCAGCAUGGUGAAGGCAGCUGAUUAAGGACAGCCAAAGAAAGUUGUGCCUUGGCCAUCUCCAAGCCAUAAGCUGAAAGCCAGAUCGUCUUUUUACUACUUAUAAGAGUUCCAAAUACAAACCUUUGUUUAUUACAUGUGUUACAAAUACCUGCUUCUACUCUGUAAUUUACCUUUUCAGUCUUUUUAAUAGUGUCCUUUGGUGAUCCCAAGUUCUUCAUUUUAACGUAGCCAAAGCGUAUCACUCUUUUCCUUAUUAGCCCUUUGUCUUGAGAGGUCUUCUCCUACACUGAGAUCAAUAUAUUCUCCUAUACUUUCUUUUAGGAGCUUAUUAUAUAUUGCCUUCCACAUGUUUGUAUGCAAUCCAACUAGAAUUGAUUUUUUGUGUGUAUGGUGAGAUAAGGAUCAAAUUUCUCGUCUUUCCCUUCUUUCCUUUCUCUUAGGAUAUUCAAUAGUCCUAGCAACAUUUGCCAUUCUUUCCUCACAGCUCUACAGUACAAUCUUUAUUGUAAAUCAAAUAUUUCGUUUCUAGGAUUUUAUUCUAUUCCUAGACCUUAUUAGACUAUUCUGUAAGAGCUUUAAAAUAAAUCUUGAUACCUAAUAGAGCAAAUCUUUCCAUCUUGUUGUUUUUACUCAAGUAUUUUUAUAUACACUAUUUAUGGCCUUUCAUUCGUCUACAUAUUUUUUAGAACUAGCUUGUCAAAUUUCCAUGCAAAAACCCCACCAAAACCCUGCUGGGAUUUUUACUGGGAUUAUUUUACUUAUAUAUCAAGUUGGGGAGAACUGACAUCUUUACAAUAUUGAGUCUUUUGAUCUAGGAAUAUGAUCUCUUUCCAUUUAUUUAUUCUUUCAUAUCUCUCCAUAAUUAUAGGGUCCUGGCCACAGAAAUGAGAUGACAAAGGGGAUGCCAUCAUUUGGAAAAGGUUGCAAUAAGACAUGCACACUGUGACUCUGUAUGUCUCCCACCUUUGGAAGUGAGCCUAUGGCAAAUGUGGCUUUCCUACCAAGCAGAAGGGAAAGUAUAACUGGAGUGCCAAAACUAAAAGACAAAACACCACUGGGGCUGGUCAAAUGAGGCAGCUAAAAAUUGUAUACUGCAGAUUCAACCCUGUAUUCCGUGAAGGAACAACACCUAAACCUUACUAAGAAGACAGGUGUUGCAACCCAGUCCUUAAGGAUUUCAACAAUUAAUCAUACAAUGUAUGUUCUGGUUGUCAAAAAUAAAAAUAAAAAAAUAAUAAUGUAUUAUAAUUUUCCACACAAAGACUUUGCAUAUAUUUUGUGAGAUUUAUUCUUAGGUAUUUGAAUUUUCUUUAUGGUAAAUACUAUUUUUAUAUAUUUUUUAACUUCAUUGCUGGUACAGGCAUACUUCAUUUUAUUGUGCUUCACUUUAUUAAUUACACUUUGCAGAUAUUGCAUUUUUGACAAAGUUUGUGGCAACCCUGUGUCAAGCAAUUCU